rnacentral:lncRNA from 1 species
CAAAAAGGAACCUAGGACCACCAGAACCUGAGAGGCGGAGACAAAGACUGAAAUACACAGGCUUAAGAAACAAAAACUCUCAGGCACCUUGAGACCCAAAGACAGUAAAGAUCUAGUCUACAAGUCCAGAGAUGAGACAGAGAAACUGAGGAGAUGGAGACUUAAAAUGGGGAUCCUGCACAAAUGAAGACUCAAGACCAUGAACAGUCAAGAAACAAGUGCGCAGACCUACUGUGGGCAGACAGAGCUAAAAACCCCACAACCCUGAGGCAAGGCUUCAGAGAGGGAGAGACUGGGAGGAAGGCACUGAACAGACUGGCUGAAAACAGUUAAGGUUUCAGAGAGUAAACUGAAUUCAAACACCUCACCAGAUUUUUGGUAGAUUUGAUUGAGCAACAAGACAAAAAGGAAGAAGAGGAGGCUGCUCCUGCAGAGAUGGGAAGGAAGCUGCUUUCCACAGCAGAGCUUCUGAAAGCCAGUUUGUUCGUCUGACAUGGUUUUUAAAAUGUGUAGCUGAACUGCUUACCACCGAAAACGUUUUUAUUCCUUAUUUACACACACAAAAAACACUUUAUUCUGUUCUGAUAAUUUUAACUAAUACCACGAUCAAGAUGGUUUCACUACUCCUUUUUAACAAUCACAUCACCACCACCUCUGACCUCUGUUGUGUGGGCCCCCAGUGCAGAUUCGUUCCUAUGGAUUUCAUAUAAAUAUAAUCUUAUAGUACAGUGCCUUUUGAGAUG